AAUUUUGGGCAAUGGGCGAAAGCCUGACCCAGCAACGCCGCGUGAGGGAUGAAGUAUUUCGGUAUGUAAACCUCGAAAGAAUGGGAAGAAUACAUGACGGUACCAUUUAUAAGCUACGGCUAACUACGUGCCAGCAGCCGCGGUAAUACGUAGGGAGCAAGCGUUGUUCGGAUUUACUGGGCGUAAAGGGCGCGUAGGCGGCGCGGUAAGUCACUUGUGAAAUCUCUGACCUUAACUCAGAA
rnacentral:rRNA from 1 species